AUUGAACGCUGGCGGCAGGCCUAACACAUGCAAGUCGAGCGGCAGCGGGAAAGUAGCUUGCUACUUUUGCCGGCGAGCGGCGGACGGGUGAGUAAUGCCUGGGAAAUUGCCCAGUCGAGGGGGAUAACCGUUGGAAACGACUGCUAAUACCGCAUACGCCCUACGGGGGAAAGCAGGGGACCUUCGGGCCUUGCGCGAUUGGAUAUGCCCAGGUGGGAUUAGCUAGUUGGUGAGGUAAUGGCUCCCCAAGGGGGCGAUCCCUAGCUGGUCUGAGAGGAUGAUCAGCCACACUGGAACUGAGACACGGUCCAGACUCCUACGGGAGGCAGCAGUGGGGAAUAUUGCACAAUGGGGGAAACCCUGAUGCAGCCAUGCCGCGUGUGUGAAGAAGGCCUUCGGGUUGUAAAGCACUUUCAGCGAGGAGGAAAGGUUGAUGCCUAAUACGUAUCAACUGUGACGUUACUCGCAGAAGAAGCACCGGCUAACUCCGUGCCAGCCGCCGCAGUAA
rnacentral:rRNA from 1 species